GGUGAUCAUUAUUUUCUUCCUUGUAUCUUUUCCUGUUGUCAGCCUGGAUAGCAGAAGUUUAAAUACCACAGCAAUAUAUUAACAUAUAUGAGAGGAGUUACCUUUACCCAACCUGCAGGCAGCCCUGGGACUAUCCUUCCCAUUUCCUCACUUCGUGCUCUUAUUAAUGGCUCCCGCUGGGACUAAUAAACAAAGAGAAAGAAAAGGUUUGGAACUGGACUGUUUUCAGCAAAAAUCCUAGAUGAGGAUGUUGCUUUGCUUCCUGUGCCAGCAACAACAGGUGGCACAGGAGCUGGCUCUUCCAGAGAUGGAUAUGUAAAAUCCA